GAGAUCAGCCCAGUCUCCAUGUGAUGAAGCAGAUCACAGAUCCUCCCCGGAUACACGUUUACCCCAAGACGAGAGCAGGCUAAGAGCUGAGAGUGGAAAGAAUAUUGAUUGAACAUCUACUCAAGAACUGCAAAACAGAGAUUACCUGACCUAAAGAUGAAUCCAGGAUUCGGUGGUGCCUGUUCCAGGAAACUUUAGUGUGAAGGAUCCUCCAGAUACAAGGGAGCAGGCAAGUUGCACCCAACCUAACAGUAAAUUGCAGGGACAUUUCCAUUCUAAGGAAGGAAUUUUUGUGUGUGUUGCAACUCAGCUUCUGCUCUGGCAUUUUGCUGUGCAUUUAUAUUGCCAAUCAUGUUGGAGAGUCCAUGUGGUGAUUUCUGAAAAUGAGAUGUGAGAAAGAAGAGGAUAAUUUAAGUCUAGACCUACAGAUUGUGCUGAUAAAGUGACGAAGAACUACAAUCUUCUUAGUCAUUUCAUUGUAUAAGUGCAAUAAACGGUAUGUAAUAAAUUUGUAUGUUCAUAUUUACAACG
rnacentral:lncRNA from 1 species